rnacentral:rRNA from 1 species
GUCUUUUUGAAAAUUUAUUUAAAGUCUAAUCUGCCCACUGAAAAAAUUUAAAGGGCCGCAGUAUAAUUGUGCAAAGGUAGCAUAAUAAAUAGUUUAUUAAUUGUAAACUAGAAUGAAUGAUUUGACGAAAUAUUAACUGUUUCAAUUUUAUAUAAAUAGAACUUUUUUUUUAAUAAAAAAAUUAAAAUAAAAUAAAUAGACGAGAAGACCCUAUAAAUCUUUAUAUAAUUUAAAAUUUAUUUAAAAAAAAAUUUUAAAUUAUAUUAAAUUGGGGUGAUUAAAAAAUUUAAUAAACUUUUAUAAUUAUUAAUAAUUAUUUUUAUUUUAUUUAAAAUAAUCUAUUUUUAUAAAUAAAGAUAAAUGAUACUUUAGGGAUAACAGCGUAAUUUUAAUUUUGAGAUCUUAUUGAAAUUAAAGAUUGCGACCUCGAUGUUGGAUUAAAAUUAAUUUUAAAUGCAAAAGUUUAAAAAUUGGGUCUGUUCGACCUUUAAAAUUUU